UACGGAGGGGGCUAGCGUUGUUCGGAAUUACUGGGCGUAAAGGGUUCGUAGGUGGCUUGUUAAGUCAGACGUGAAAUCCCUCAGCUUAACUGGGGAACUGCGUCUGAGACUGGUGAGCUUGAGUGCAGGAGAGGAACGCGGAAUUCCAGGUGUAGCGGUGAAAUGCGUAGAUAUGCGGAGGAACACCGAUGGCGAAGGCAGUCCCCUGGGCCUGCACUGACGCUCAUGCACGAAAGCGUGGGGAGCAAACAGG
rnacentral:rRNA from 1 species